AAAUUUUUUACUUUGUGUGUUUGGUCUUCAAAGGUUCAUUUAAAAAUUCUUCAUAUUGGGUGUUGUAAUAAUAGCUGGUUGCUUUCUUACAGAGCUAUAAAAAAAAUUUCCUAUGUUUUGAUGGAGAAAUGCCAUCUAAGCAGGUGUUGUUGAAGGCAUUCCUGUCCAGGAAGGAAGAAGGAGAAAAGAAGACAAGAAGGAUAAGCUUGUGCAGCUGGUGCCAUGUUAGGCAGACUGGAAUGGGAAAAAAUUAUGGAGUUUGAAAAUUCCCUAAAGGACAAUAUUGGAAGAUAGACUAAGACAACCAUUACUCUCUGCAGCCCUCUCCCUCCCCCUAGCAAGUUCUGUG
rnacentral:lncRNA from 1 species